GUGGGUAAGAUGGUAUUUCUUGAUGUUUUUUAAGGAAGGCUGAAAUAAUUAUUUCAGUUGUGAUGCUUGAUAUUGCAACCUUUGUUUUUUCUUGGCAGUGCAUUUUUACCACAUGCUAAUAUUAUCUGUGGCACGUUUUUUUCCACAGACAGAUGGCAAGAUGUGGACCAUACUUCACAAGGUAUUUACUCUGACUAAAAGAUGGGUAACAUAUAUGUCAAGCCACAAACCUACAGGCGUGCUCUAGGCUUGUGGUAAAAAUCAGGGUCAGGAGAUUUAGCGGCAGUCUUUUAAUUUUGAAUGGAUGUUACCUUAAUAUCAUUUUAGGAUAAGAAAUACAGAAUAAGCUAUUGCAAAGAACACAGCAGGUCAUGUAGUACAUCGUUCCCUUAUGUUCUGGGUGUGAAACAGCAUACAAAAUGGCAGCUGCUGUUUUCAAGAGUUUGAGGGAUUUCUGUAUAAUUAAUAUCUCCAUGACACUGCCUCUACCAUGCAGAGCAUGAUUGAAUCAUCUUCUUCAUACUAUGAUUCUUGAGACAGACAGCUCUCAGGAAUGACAGAAAGGUGAGAGCCCCUGGGCUGGCCAUGCUUUUGUUGAAUGGCCAGCUGAGGGGGCUUUCAAAGUGUUCUAAACCUUUAUGAUUCAGUUCUGAUGAAAAGACCUUAAGCUGACAUCAACUGGUGGAAAGUCACGAUCCUUGAGAAUUCAGGAAAUUCUGAGAAAAAUAAAAGUCAUGACCAAACCCAUGCAAGCUGUAAUGACUUUCAAGGAUGGCAGCCCUAAGUAUAUGGUUUGUGUGCUAAUAGCCCAGUUCAUGUUUUGAAAGACUCACAAUAGAGCAAUCGUCUUAUUUCCAAUAGCUCUUUGUUAUUUUUAUCAUUGUACAGUAUGUUCCAUGCUUAGAAAAUUCUUCUGAAAACAGGCAUAAAUUUAAUAAGAAAAUCACAUUUCAAGUGGUAUAUUUGUUCUCAGAGUACUGUUUUAGAAAAAAAAAGUCAGUAAGGCAAUACAGACUAAGGGCUUUGCACAGGUCACACAGUGAAUCAGUGAUUCAACUAAGAUAAGAUGAUUGAUUCUUGUUCUUUCCCUUUCUUUACCCCAACUGUUAGAUCCUCCUGCCAGUAUAAACAGUCUGCAUAACUUGGUAAGAAGGUUAAAAAGUCAUGUCAAGUUCAUUUAAAAUUGCUUGAACCACUUGUGGAAUGUAAACUCUAUGAUCGAGUUUGUAUUUAACUACAAAUCUUCAAAUAGUUCAGUACUGGGAAAAAAAAACUGAUUCAACUGCAAGCUACGGCUGCAUGAUAGGUACAGGCCAACAGUGUAGGUGGAUCUUCUAAUCUUCUGCUGGAGCCUCUAAAGUGAUUUACUAUCUCCAUAUAAUAGAUGUGGUCCAUUCUCAUUAGAAAAGUUAAACCCAAGUGGCUACAUCAGAAUUAGCUAACACACAGCCCUGCUAAACAGGGCUUGUUGGAAUAUGUAAGAAUAAAACUACUUAAUCAGCUAUUAAGUAUGAUGAAGAAAGACUCAUGAUGUUUCUGCAAUUUAGCAUAAUAAUGAAGCAAUACUCUGGGGGAAAAUAAAGGGAUAUAGGGCAUGCCCUGCUCUGAGUGGGAGGAGUAGUUACACCAUGUUCAGGCAUUCUGAAUCAAUACAGCUUUCGUUCAGAGCAGCUAAGGCAGGAUGGCAUCGACUUAAGAGCACACUAGCUCCCCCAGGCAUAACCCAGCUCCAGAUAAGCUUAUUGCAAAAGUAAGAACUAAAUGCCUUAAUUUCCACCUCUAUUAUUUGCACUGUACUUUCUUUCAGCUGGAAAGCAUGGAAAUUCAUAUUAAGAACUGUGUCUGCCGUCAAGCUCCCAAUAUCUGGAGAAGGGCAUCUUCUUGGUUCUGUAAUACUUCUGAGGACUGAAGGCAAAAAGACAGUCUGUGCUCUCUUGUUAGUUAAGGAUCGAGACUGCAUUCGUGCUCCAAGGCUCUGUCUGUCCUUACUAACUACCCAGUAGUUCCUUAGGGUGGAGAUCAGGGCAGGAGAGCUGCAGCAAAAGGCAAGUCUGGUUUAGACUGGGGUCUCUGCUCAUACAAACUGUGAAUGCAGCAAACUCAAACCCUUUGAUCACAACCACUGAAAGCUGCAUAGCCAGUCGAAGGCUGUCAAACCAGCAAAGGCACUUACUUCGGCACCUAGUGUUACUUGGCCAAAUCCAGCACUUGGAGCCAGAUCACUUGCUGUUUGCCACCUGCUCACUUCUCAAGAUGCCUGCAGUCCUACAGCAGUUCCGUAUCAGAAAAAGGCAUCCCUCAGACGCUUGCACAUCUCUGCAGGCAUGUCUAAAGCUGCCCAUGCCUGCAGAGAACUGAGCAGCCUCUUCCCACAGACCUGCCUGGGGACCCUGCUGCUCUCCUCUGUGGGGACCGUGCUGGAUGCUUCUCCCAGCCCCCUGUUCCAGGCCACUGCAGAGAGGGGAGACGCUGUCACAGCCUGAAUGGAAUUUUGGGUAACCCACCUGUGCCUGGAGGGGUGGAAAGCAGAGAUAGGCACACGGGUAUGUAUUGUAAAACACCCUUGGUGUCAGCUGCUGCUGCAGGAACAUGUAAGAGACAAUGCUUCAGUAUUCGUUUUAUAGAAAAUUCUGUUUUCCUGUAAAGCGUUAUGUGUAAGGUAAAAACCCCAGGUUCUCUUCAUCAGUAAGAGGUCUAAGGGCAAAGAUUUCUCUCUGUCUUUUUUUCUUCCCCUCCCCUGACACCAGAAAGCAUAAGCAAUUUUUUCUUAAAAAAAAAUUCAACAGGAGACAUUAAAACUCUGUUACCUGGCUGCCCUUUCUGUCCUCAAGUAAGUUAGCCUAGCCUGAAUUUCCUCUUCAUCUUGGGUAUAUUUUUUAUACACACAGAGCAAUCUUAUAAACCCAUCCCUAUCUCAGCCUGGAUGGUUUUUUAGGUUUGGAAAGCACGAUGGUGAAAAACUCUAAGCAGCUCUCAAAAUGGCAGCAAACAGGAAGAAUCCCAUAACAUUUCAGUGUGAGAAAAACUAAACCAAUUUGAUAUGUAGACUAGAGCAGCAGCUUACACUCCUGACCCUCUCCCUUCCCCUCUCUGGGUGCCCUGGGAGAGGGGAAACUAUUUUCCUUUUCCUUUUCUGUCUUUCCCCUCCCACUGCAUGGGCAGAUUAUUCUCCAUUGUGUAGCUAGAAUGGUAACCCUCUUCCCUCUGUUAUUUUUUCUCUUUCCCUCGGGCCUAGUCCAAUACCCACUUAACUUAAGAGAAUUAAUAGAUUCUUUUGUGUCUGACAUAAUGAGUCUGUGUCAGCAAAAGUCAGUCUCCAGCAAGAAUGGCAGGAGCUGUUGUGACACCAGGAGUAAAUGACUCCUUGAAACACUUCUGAGAAAACCAGACCACCAAUUUAUAACUGGUUUACAGUUAAGGCUUGGUGUUCCAAAGUAUUUUUUAUUUCUUCAAAGAAUUCAGUUGCUUCCAAGCAUCAGGACUGUUUCUUACUAAUAUCAUUAAAAAUCAUCACAGCAUUUAAACUUGCAGUAAGUCCUCAGUAAAACACCGUAAAUAAACUAAUGAGGAGAUUGGAAUUUUCCACCAUUGCAAACAUCAAGGCACUUUUCUGUCAGACUGUUUCACAUCCAGAACCUAACCCAAACAUUACCAAAAAAGGACAGUGAGGGAGCAGGGUAGUAUUAGGCAUGAGAGAGCACUCCUGUUGCUGUGAGCAUUGUUCCUUUAAUUUUUCUACUAUGAUGGGAAAUAACCAGAGACAUAGAGUACCAUGCAGCAACUGAUGAAGGGAGACUGAAUUUACUAGUAUUUCAAGAAGGUAAUAACCUGCUGAAACUGCAAUGAGUCAUUUGUACUAGAUGCUAAAAGAUUGUUGUGGCAUGAAAAAUAUAUAAACUUGCCUCAGUGUGUUGCUGUAACACACACGCUACUUGAAAUGAUUUAUUUUGACCUUGAUGUAAUCAAGAAGUAGUCAAGAAGAAACCCUGGUAGGGUUACAUCAGACCAACAGUGUGUGUACAAAAGAAAAAUAGUUUUUUUCUUUUCAAAAAAACCCCUAGCCUUUCAUGAAGUCUGAAGUAUAAAGAAAAGGAUGAACUGGACAGAAGCGUACAAAAUAUAGAACCACCUGAGUAAGACUGAGUCAAGGGAGGAAAAGGCGGACUGGAUAAGUCUGUGGGUAGAGCAGAUUUAUCCGGCUGUACUUGAGAGCAGGACCUGGCCCUCAGCCACAGCUGCAAGAUGCUGCUUACAAGGAUGGGGCAAGACUGCACAGGAAGCAACGCAGCUUACCCUGCUGGGACAUAGAGGUGCUAAAUUAACCCAGGGAGCAGUUCUUCAAGGAGAUGUAAAUUAACCAGGAGGUUACCCCUUUCAGUGGAUAUCAGUGCAGGUCUCAGCUUCAUGCGGUGACAGGAAACAGCAAGGGAGAUGAAAUCAGGGGUAAAAUAAGCCAGUAAUUUGCAUGCUUGCCUGGGAGUUAGUCACCGCAGACUAUCUCUGGGCAAGCCACAUCUACCUGUGCCUCAUAGGAUAAUAAUAUUUUCUUAUGUCACCUCAGUUCUGUAAAAUUAAUAUAUGUAAAGUCCAGUAGCCAUAGCAAGAGGGGUGACGAAAAUACCAAAGACUCACUCCUAGCAAAUGUUCAAAUACCUGAAAAAAAAGUGUCUAAAUAAAGUUUGAGCCAUCCUGUGAAUGAUUUUAUACUGCAUGGAAAGUCCCAAGCCUGCUAUACCAGAAACAUUGCUCCGGCAAGCUGUAUCCCUCUUAAAAAAGAAGCCCUCAGCCAUUAUCAGCCUAAAGCACCUGCAGAUGGUCUGCACAGGACGUGAAUACAAACAAAAUAAAACCAGCACCAGUCUUUCUCCCCUCCCUCAAACAAUCUCUCUUCAGUUUUCUGCUACAAUUUCUGACCCGUCUUCCCAAUGCUGUGCAUCCCUGGCAUUUCCACUCCUUUCCAAAUCACAACCCUUGGCAUUUCUUACAAUCACUUUGCUCAUGUUGCCUGCCUUUCUAUCUGCCUAAUUUUCCUGCAUGGUUUGAACCACUGUUCUUUUAAUGGUAGGAGACCAUCUGUGCUGCUGUGUAACUACUUUUUUCCUCUGAGGACAAGCAUUUAAUGAGAUGGCUACUGCAGUCCUUUCCUGUGCAGUUAUUACCGUCAGUGACAUGAUGUUUAAAGGGUUAUCUAAAGCCCCCAUCCUGGCAUUUCCUAAUGGCAUGUGUUUUGCUUGCUAGAUUAUGCCUGUUGCCAGUGGGGCGAUGAAGACAUAAAACUUAGCAACUUCUACUGAUUUCAUUAUCUUAAGUGCAAAAUUACUUUGUAGCUGAAAGCAAAAAACUUCCUUGAGCAAGCCAGGCUAUUACAGUGGAAGAAUAUAAAAAUACAUUCUGGAAAGAGGGCGGGAAAAACAAUAUAAACAAUAACACAGGAAUAUGUUCAGCAUUUAAAUCUGUCACAGCAUCAAAGCCCACGGUACAGAUUGAAGCGGGAGGCAGUCAUGCAACCCAAGGGUGAGUUAGAUAACCCUCGGGAACAGCAAGGAGGUCUUCUCAGGGAGCCAACAGCAAGCCUGUGCAGGUUGGUGACAGGAGAGGGAGGCGGCACUGCAAAAACAUUCCUUGCUUUGCCUUUUGUUUUCAUUCCUUAUUCAUCGAGAUGCCGAUUAAAAAACUGGAACAUGGAGAAACGUACCAUUGCAAGGGAACUACAGCUCCUCUAGUCCAUUUCCUCCUCAGCAUCCUGCAAAUUGCAAGGUCCCCAGGGAUGAUUAAGCUGAUGUUUUCAAGAAGGCAAGGAAGUGAAAUGGGUAUAAACUCAGCAACCUCAGUUAAAGCAUGGGAGAAUACCAAUGUGACCUCAGGCUGGGCUCCACUGAGACCGAUUCAUGUGCUCCAGACCAGCACCAUUCUUCUAUGAUGUCUUAUAUUUUUUAGGAAACAAAGACUAGAGAAUGAGUAUAUCCUUUUCAAAGCUGGAAGGUAGAGUUGAUCAUUUGCUAAGGGGCUCCUUCAACAGUAAAUGACAGGUAAAUUAAACACUCAAUGACUCCCAAAGUGCUGGGAAGGUGGGAAAGAGAAGGGGGAGAGCAAUGGGAAGAGAAGCAUAAGCCAACACACUGUGAAUGGAUGCAGCUGGGUGAAUAUGUCAGGUUUAUGGAAAUGACAGAUUUUAAACACUGGCUUUUUGUGUUGCAGUAAAAAUAAGUUUCAGGAUGACACUGAGACAUUCAGUGUUGUGAACAGUUCCUGACUUUCCCUUUACGAAGAUACAAACAGGCCUGAUUAAUCUUUCAGUUAGGUGCUUGCAGGUGAGGGCAAUCUCACUGAAAUCAGGACAUCAGUUCUGUACACACGGGAGUUGAGACCUUAAUCAUAUGCGCUGUAUUUAUAAAACGUAAUAUUAACCUGGACACCCAGAUUUCCCUCUGUUUUCAACUACAGGCAAUAUUUGUCUGUAUUUCUGAAUCUCACAAAGACUGAAUUUAAAAAAAACCCAAACACUAGCUUUGUUCACAAAGGAGGAAAGUGGUUUUUUUCCAUUUUGUAUUACCUCUAUGGCAUGUGCCUGAUCAUUGCUGACUCUAGUAUAUACUAACCAGAACAAUCAUCAUGAAACUCUUACAAAAUGUGUUUUACAUCGCAAGAGUAUUUUUUAUACACUCCCUCCCUAUUCAAAGGGAAGAGGAAGAUGUUAACCUUGUCCAUUCAUAGUGCUGAGAAAUGCAAAGGAGGAAAAUAAUCAAUGUACGCACGGAUCUAAACCAGCAUUUUCCUGAUACUGUCACUGGCAACUGUUCACAUGUUAUACAGCACAUAAUCAUCUAAGUGAUGAAUCUAAAACAUUGUCCUGGGAAUUCUGAUAAAGGAUACCCAGCAACCUCUUUCGUUACAACUGAAGUGGUAGUUCUGGUGGACAGAUUGCACAGUUUCAUACUGGGGCAGGGAGGAGACGUUGGUCUUGGAAACAAAAGUAGAUCUUCAUUUUGUGUUAGGGACAGAUUUAUUUUAGCAGAAUGUUGUUAGCUGAAGUCAAAAUAAAAUAUUUCAUUUGAGUCUGGAUUAAAUGUUUUGUUAGAUUGAAUGAUUACAUUCUUCAUCCUUUUGUAUCAGUCUGGAUCAUGAAUGGUACUUUUGCUACUGUUUUUCCCAGAGGACACAAAUUUCAUUUUUGACCAAAUUAGUGGUUUAAAUUUGCCAGUAAUUAUCAGAGUUAUCAGUAUCGAUACAAAUUGGUAAUUUAUUUUCAUUAGUAUUUUGAAAAAGCCUACUAACCAAAUGCAAUACUAAUUGGGGGUGGGGGGAAGCGAAUAUUAACAUUUUAACCCAGUAAGCCAAAAGAUAAGCCAGCAGUAGAUAAAUAUGCAACUUAGUGUUCUGACAGGAGUGUGCAUCUGUUUCCUAUUAAUUUUGCUUGAGACAAGGAAGGAAUCAAGGUUUUCCAUGAUUUAAUUUGAACAGCAAUUUGGAUUUCCUGUGCCUCAGCUGGAGGCAUUAUUGGUAUGAGACAAGAAAGGCCCUAACUAUCUUAGGAGGUUCAUGUUUCACGAAGAAUAAUACCUACAGAAAUUCAAACAGGAUGUCAAAAAGUGACAUACGGUGCUUUCAGUACUCUCCAGUGUUCCUAAUAUAAAUUCACAAGGCAAAACAGUAUAAAGUCGUAAGUUUCAUUCUUUCUUUUUGCCACAAAGACAGCAACCAACUUGGAAAAGUCAAUAAGCUGACGACGCUGCUCAGCAUAUUCAUCCAAUGGAUCUCUCUCCAUCGGAGAAGCUGAAACCCCCCAUCGGAUUCCCUGAAAAUAACAUUACUGACCCAAGUAGCCAAGACUGUUGUUCACAGAGUGGGACAGAGUCUGGACAGACAGCUGCCAAGCUCUGGUUAGGCAUGUUUUUCAGAAAGGGCUGAACACACUACCUGUGACAGCAAGGUCCUGUGGUUUUUCUCAAGCUGCGUACACAAAAGUGGAGACACUCCAUAUUCUCACUUGCUUGUUUAAACCACGGCCUUAGUUCCUGUGACUAACAUAAUGCCCAUGGCAUAUUUUGCAUGAAUAAUUAAACAUUAUUGGGGAGUUAAUGGUCGUCUGUUACCUCCUUUUAGUGGAUUUUUUACAAAGUACGCUUCACUGUCUUUUCCUUUUGAAUGAGGAAGGGAAUUAUUCUGAGCCAUCCAAAUUGUGAAGAAGUUAAUAUAACAGCACCACUCCAUCUCUUCUUCACGUGAAAUCCUGGUCCCACUGCAGUCAGCUCUGGAUUUUGCCAUUGGUCUCGAUACAGCUGACAUCUUUACUUCUUGAACUCCCUGAUGGUUGAGAAAGGACUGGAGAGGCAAGUGGAGAACCUGGGAUUUUUAAUACCUUCUGUGCUCAGGCAACUAUGAAGUCACACCAGUCAGGAGAAAACAGAGCAUAACUAUCAGUACUACUUUAACGUCUCUUGAAGAUGAAAGGAAUCAUGACCAAUGAGGCCCUGUGUUCCUCCAUACAAAGAAACUCUGAUCUUGACAGACUGGUUUGUCUCUGCCUACAGACACAACACCUGUUUGGAAGUGAGGAAGUGCAAAUAACUGGUGUUCGGCAUUCCAGCUGGUACUCUGCAGAUAAACACAUGUAUGGAGCAUAGUAGCGCAGUAGGUUUCCUGCCAGCUGGAAUGACUGCUGUCCCUUUUAUGGCAUACCAACACUUCAACAUAUUAUAUCUUUUCACACAGUGACAGUAAGAAGAUUUUGUCGUGAAGUUUUUGGUUUGGGAUUAAGACCGGCAAUAACAGAUUGUUCUUGCUAGUUUUAGCUAUGUUAUUCUUCAGUGUAGUUCAUCUCAACCAAUGACUUCAGAACAUUAAAGGAAAAUAGUGUAGUAUGAAACAGCAGGAGCUCUGAGUUGUUCCUUUAAACUAAUAAAACCCCACUGAAAUCCACUGAUAUAAAUCCACCAUGGAGCGGACAACACCUAGCAAAAUAAUGCCUGGAACUGUGUUUAUUUUAGGCUUACCACUUACCUAUUUCAAAGAUAAUUUUUAUAUUUCAGUAAAAUACAGGUUCAUGAGAAUAUAGAUGUACCUAGAAAUGGACAUGAACAAUGAAAAGCCAUCUGGCAUGAUGCCCAAAGUUGUACCUGAAUAAAGUUGUAAGGUAUUACCCACCCUCAGUCAACUGAUCAGUGCUAGAACAGUAUUUUUUUUAAUUGAAAGGCUUAAUUGGCAAGUCAAACAUCCACAUGUUGAGCAACACAGCUCAGAACACACUUCUCCUGGUGAAUAUAAAAAAUAAUGAUUUUCCUUUUCAGUAAAUAGUCUUUGAAGUCAUACGCACUUGCUUUCUGUGGUGAGGAUAAAGCAUGAUAUUAGCAUUAAUGUGGGUCUUUAGUAGAGAAUGUUCAUGAUAGGUUAGUGUUAAAAUUAGGGUGAUGACAAGGUUGUGUGCACCUGCUUUCUGUCCCAUUUCAUGUGUUUGCAGAUUAACCCAUUUAUUUUUAUUCCUGACACUUUUAUUUUAUCUCUGUAGAUGUCCUGCCAUUGGAUCAAUACAUUCUUCUUUACCAAAUAAGAGGUACAUAUCUAGGUGCAUAUUGAACAAUUUCAGGCUGUUCAUUUCAGCUGUGAAAGCAGGUAUCUAUAAGGAAAAUGUGGUUGGCAUCAAUAUUUGCAUUCACAGCAUCUGUCUUGUCAAACAUCAGACUAGGUCAUACAAAAACCAAGUUUUGGGAGCAAGUUCAGAGUAUUGGUUCACAGAUUAAGAUUGGGUAAGAUUGGUAAAAUUUUACCAAUCUGUGGGUAAGAUUUUACAGUCUGUGUUACUGAAGAGAUCAGAACAAACGUUUGGGAUAGUACCUUCUCAAUUUAAAACCUGACUCCUACUGGGUUGCUCAUGGAUAACUUUGCAUGUAUAACUAAACUUACCAAGAAAAUUGACACUAAAAUGGCACUAGUCUCUGGUUUUACCUGGCUUUGGUAGUCAACCUGGAAGGGAAGGAAUUAACACGUCCAUAAUUUGGAAGCAGAAAGUCAGUCUCUUGUUCUGCAGUGUGCAGAGACCUCCUGCUGACAGCAGAAGAAGCAGCAAAAAAUGCUCCCUCUCUUAUUUUCUAGUUUGCUGUUCCCAGAAAUCUCUCCCCAAAUGUUUAAUCUUGUCACUCACCCAGAAUGUUUAAUCUUUCUGUAACACAAGAAUCAUACUGGUAUGUUUCUGGAAGUCAUAACUAAAAUAUUUGCCUACGUAUUUUUAGCAAAAAGCUGUGAGAUAAUGGAGCAAUUAAGGCAUCUUUCUAUGGAUCCAAGAGAGUAUAUCAGGGACUUAGUCUGCACUUGUGCUGAAGGCUACACCGAUAAAUACAGAUGUGUGUGGUAUUUAAUAAUCUAAAAAGGGAACUAAAAGGCAGCUUGAAAAUUAUGCUAGUUAUAUUGGCUGCUUGUGUGAUGCUAACUAUACCCAGAAGUAUAGUCAUACUCAGAGGGUAUCUUUGCUUUCUUACUUAGUACAUGGGCCUCUACUUUUAAUUUCUCUAUCUGCAGAUACUGACCUUUUUCUGUUUCUCAGUAUGAAAGGGACAAAUGUAAUUUGAUAUUCAAGAGCACUGGAGAAACGGGAAUUUGAAGAGAGAGAAUUUAUUAAGCACUGAGAAGAGCUCCUACAGACUCUCCUAUGUGACAGUCUGUUUCUGCAUGAGAGGUUUUCUUAGGAUUAGUCAUAGCACAAGCAAAAUUUUUAUUAUAUUUUCCAUAUAAAAAGAAAAAUGCCAAAUAGUGUAAUUCUCAGUAUAAAGCCCAGCACUCUGGGUAGAAUAAAAGUAAAGAUAAGGCCACACAACAAAUGCUUCUACUGAGAUCAUGUUAAAGUAUACAAAGCAAUUAAAAGCCUUACUAGACCAAAUGAUUUCUAAUGUCAAGAGGAGCAAAUUCAGACUGCAGUUGAAGAAUGAAAGAAAUGAGUCAAAUGUGAAAAAUGGGAGAACUCAUUUGAGAUAUCUUACUGCUUCUUCAAUGACAGACCCAUUAAUAUAACAUAAAAUGAAGGCGGUGGGGCAUUUACAGCUGUCUACAUACAGGUGUCUAAAUUAAGUGUUUUGAGUCAGGCCAUGGAGGCAUGCAUCUCUCCACUGACUGCAUAUGACACAUAGGGAUCUUCAUCUCUGAAUCUUUUUGUCUGCUAAAGCAGCUGUUGUGAAUAUACACCCCCCCAAACCCCCCCUCCAGCUUCCACAUAUUCACAAAUUCUGCUUUCUUUUGCUGUUAUUUCACUUGUGUGUAAUAGCAUUGCCUAAAUUUUUAGAAAAUGUUUUAAUAGCCUUGAAGGACAGAUGAUACAAAGAUGCAAUGGGCUAUUAUUUAUUUAAUUACAACAACUAACAUGUGAUGAUUCAGGUUUCCUUAGUAAUUCAGGUAGAGUAAUACUGCUGAAGUUUACAUAAAGUAUAAGCUCUAAACUUCAACACUCGUCUUUCUGUCAGUGACAAUAGACGUCCAGCUCAGAUGGAAGGAAAGUUGUUGUAUGCAUCUGCUAAUUAGGAAACUAAGAAUUUGUUCACCUUAUUAUCCUUAGAUUAUGUUACAUUAGUCAGAUUCCUUUACAUCACCAAACACCGAAAGGGCGAGCUGGCCUUAGCAUUCAGUUUGAUAUUUCAGACUCUCACUUAGUCCCUGGAAGGGGAGCUGCAAUAUUUCCAUGAGUUUACCAGAAAAUUCAAGUGUUGAUUUAGGUGUAAAUGCAUUAGAGUAGUUACUCUCAAAAGUAUGAAAAAUGCUUACCCUGGAUUUGCCAAAUUAAUAAACCUGAAGAAUUAAAAAGAUUCAGUUUUCAACAUUUCUGAAAAAAGAUUAUGUUAAUUUCAACAAAUACCUAUGAAGGGUCAAUUUUAUUCAAGAGAAGCUGUACAUUUCAGAAAGUUACACAUAAAAAAUAUUCUUAGGCAAAUUAUAUAUUGAUAGAUAUAAAUAUAUAGAUACAUAUGUAUAUACAAAUGUCAAGGCAAAAUCUGAUAGCUGAUACAGACACAUCCAAGGGGAGAUUUAGGGAAUGAGUUUGGACAAUGGGAGAAACCACAAAGCUGUUAGAUUAAAGAAGCGAAAUCGGCAGUGGGGAAGUGUGUUUUCCUCUGGACAGAAGACAUGAGUCGUUGACAUUUAUAUACGGUCUAGAAUCAGAUGAAAAAAAAAAAAUGGCCUAGAGAGAUGCCAGGACUUCUUGGGACUGGUCCAUCUGAAAACAGGAUAGAAACUCCCUUUGUUGUGGUAUUUUGGUACCUUAGCUCCCAGAAGAAAUAAGUUUAAGGAAGAAGAAGACAUCCAAGAAGACCUAUUUCACAAUUUUCUUCUUGACUACACAGAGGACAAGUCCCCUGUAGGUCAAACAGCUGCCACUGGGGAGACUUCUGGGUGAGAAAUUGCUGUGUUUACUCAGCCUGAAAAUGGCCUGCCUCCUGUCUACCUCUAGCCCAUUGUUCAAUCAACCAGCUCAAAGACAGAAGAGAACUGGAGGAUCUCUUCCCCUCUUUGUGCCAAGUUACAUUUAAAGCUCACAUAAAAAUAUGAUGGGGAUGCUUGUGUGAUACAACCUACAUGGCAGCAGAAAUAUGACAUAGUCUUUCAUGCUUUGGUAAUCUGUCAUUUAAGGGACUUAGAUUUUAGUCUUUGCUAAAGUGAAGACAAAAAUCGGUGUUUAUUCAUUCUCAGAAAGCCCAUCAGAUAAUCAGAUGAUUGUUGUUAUCCCUAGAUAGAAAGUGGGGAAGCAAUCAGAAUUAGUGUGACUGAGCAGCUUAGAAACUGUUAAUUAAUUAUGUUAAACUUCUGAUAUGAAGUUUCAUAGCUGUACUGACCAGAUAGAGUUUUGGAGGGUCUACAGUCCUCCAAAACUUCUAGUCCAUAUGUGCCCUCCAAAUUGUUUGCACUACCAGUUCAUCUCCAUGGGUUUGAGCGACACUGACAGCAUUAGCAAGGGAUAGCUGCCAGCUCUAACCAGUACUCAGAGACUAGGCUGAUUAGACACGCUGAGAGCUAUUGACAGCAAACAGGCUUUGCCUAACUUCAGCAAACUGAGUAAACUGAGGUGAAGCCAGGCAGCUCAACAUGAGCUUCCAGAGGAGUCAGGCUUAACCGACUAAAUAAUAGGAAAAGAUUAAUGUUUAGCCUUCUUUUACCAGUAAAGGCAAUUCAGCUCAUUCUCAUGCAGCUGGAACCAUUCCUCCUUAUAGGGAAUCAAAACAAUAUGUGCAUGUUGAGUCUUAGAUUAGCAUAGAUGACAUGUUCUGGAUUUUAUUGACACAGGGAGAGUAACCAAGAUAAAGAUUUCCAUACAUCAUAAGUGUAACAGAAAAAAUUGUGUGUGCAGCCACUAUACUUGAAAGGAAGACUAAUAUUUGAAACAACUUUCCUCUUCUGAAAAUUAAAUAAUAAAUAUAGAUUAAAAUGGAAUGCCCACAUGGGGGAGUUAUUGCAGAACAGUUAGGCGAGCUUCUCUGUUAAAGCAAGUACUCCUAGCCUUUGGGGAGAAUGAUUGAGCCAAAAUUACAGUUGACGAUGGUAUGAAACAGAACAGUACUAUUUUCUGUAAGGAAAGCACUGAGCACCUCUCAUUUUUGUCUUCUUCAUAUGGCAGAUUUGUCUAUUUCAUUAUUUAUUUUCCACAUAGGUAAAUAGUAGUGCCAAAUAUGCCACGUAGAAUAAAAAAUCUGAAUGUCCAAAAAAUGUCUGAAUGUGCCUAUGAAAAUUAUUUCACACUUAUUGAAAAAGUAAUCAUACUUAAAAAAUUAUGUGCAGCCAGGUUUGGGUAUCAGCCCCUGAUUGAACAAGAAUUUUGCAAAGAGCUUAGUACCAUCUAUCGUUGUUAAAGCUUCAGACAAUGUAAACUGGAAGUGACAUGUAGCUGAAAGGAACUUCACAGAAUUUGCUAUGAACACAAUGGAGCUGGCUGUAGCUGUUCAAACAGCUCUCUUCAUAUCCAAGAGUCAGAAGCACGCAUGCACUCAUCUGCUAGGGCACUUCGAAUGCCCCUGGCAAAAUAGUGAUGCAAUAGAUAUUGUGUGUCCACAAAACAAAAUCAAACACAUGUCAUCUUUGGUGGUUAAUCUCAAACAGUAAUAAAGGUACGCAGGAAGAAAAUGGAUAACAGAAAGUGAUUUUAAUUUUUAAAACUUCACUGUGGCAAGAAAAAGAAGUCUCAUAACUGUGGAGAACUAGAAAAAAAGCAGGCUACAGAACAGUUCUUCCCCGGUAGAUGCCAGUGAGAUAUAGAGAAAUCCCUGGAGAACUGCAUAUUUUGGCAUGAGCAACUUAACAAAAGAAGAAUUUCAGGCACCCAGAUCGUACAUUUCUGGUAUUAUAAAUCAAAUUAAUUUUAGCAUUUAUGUGAUAUUGUAGAGAUGCAUAAGAUUUUUUGACCUUGCCAAGAGAUAAGUUUAUAGUUUAGUGUGAUCUGAAAGAGAACAAGCAAAUGAAGAUCACUGUGAGACUGGAAAGGCAUGUCAAUGGGUAGAGGAUGUGUUUGGAAGUGAAAGUGAAAUUUUAUUUUCAGUGUUUAGCAUUAACAUUUAAUAUUAAAACUUAUGACAGUUAUGAAACAAGCAAAUGAGCACUUGUACUCCAAAGUGACACAACCACCCCUGACAGACAAAUGGCAGACUUUCCUGAUACUACUAAUAGUGGCUAUAUGCUAAGUAUAGCUUUGGUGUUGCUGAACAGCCAAAACAAAUGUUUAUAAGUCAUA